UGGGAGAGGAGGAGAAGGAGGAGAGGAGGAGGAGGAGGAGGAGGAGAGACACGAGUUCAAAUCAAUGAAGGGUGGAGGAGGAGGUGGAGGGUCGAGGCUCGGUGUGAGAGCAGACAGAGUCCAAAAACAGAGAGAGACAAAGAGAAUGAUGGAGCAGAGUGAGACGUCUGUGGAGAGAGAAGAGAUGAAUGAGGAGGAGUGAGAAAUGUGCAGCAGGAGCCCCCCCUGCAGGACAAAGUACGAACUGACACAGCUGCUGCAGAGAUUCAGCUUUUAUGAAUAUCUCAGAGAGGGUUCGAGUAAAAAAGAAGAAAAGAGGGAUGAGUUUUAUCUCCUUUAAAACUAUAAAGACAAAAUCAGUCACAAAUGUGGAAAAACAGGAGCUGAAAUACCUGAAAAAGUCAGACGAGCUCCUCUGAAACCUGGAGUUUUUAUCUGGUUAUGAAACAGACUGAUGUUAAUAUUGAUGAAUUAAAUAUUUCUAUAGUUAUUUUUUAAUUUCCUUAACACAGGAAGUGAUCAGCUGUGAGCUGCAGAGUGAUUUUUAAUGAUGAAGUAUCAGGCGACCCUCUAAUAUGAGACCAAUUAUAUAAAAAGACCAAAUCCUUUAAAUUAAUAAAGAUAUUUUAGUAAAAUAAUGAAGGGAAUGAUCGUGUUUAACAUAUUUAGACUGUGUUUCUGAGGUGCUGCACAGCUAAAUUUUUCAGAUUUAAGAGGGUUCGAUUUCACUCAUUUUCACCUCUCACCAUUACAUGACUGACAUCCCCAAAUCUCCUUAUUCAUCCUGAACUACCAUCUAUUAAAACCUCAUUUCAGCCUCUGCCUGAAAAGCUUAGUUUUAGCUGUUUCUACACUGAUAGAAAGUUUAAGGUUUUUACUUUUUACUCAGCUCUGCAGUCCUGAUAGAAACCUGAAAGUCCACAUUAUUCAUUAGCUCCAGUAAACUGCUGUGAUCAUGUGAUUUACAGUUAGAGGUUCAGGUUCUUCAUGAAGGUCUUUAUAGAUGAACAGAUCCAGAGUUCAGUACCAGCUGAGACUCAGAUCCAGAUCAGACUGGACUUUAUUUACAAAGGAGUCAUCGGUGAAGAGGUUAGCCCAGAGUUCGGUAACUCUUUAAAUACCUGAAACCAGAAAAUUAACCAGAAAAUUCAAUUUUUUUGGAGCUGAAAUGUUUAUUUCAUUUACUACUGAAAA